rnacentral:rRNA from 1 species
GACGAACGCUGGCGGCGUGCUUAACACAUGCAAGUCGAACGGAAAGGCCCUGCUUUUGUGGGGUGCUCGAGUGGCGAACGGGUGAGUAACACGUGAGUAACCUGCCCUUGACUUUGGGAUAACUUCAGGAAACUGGGGCUAAUACCGGAUAGGAGCUCCUGCUGCAUGGUGGGGGUUGGAAAGUUUCGGCGGUUGGGGAUGGACUCGCGGCUUAUCAGCUUGUUGGUGGGGUAGUGGCUUACCAUGGCUUUGACGGGUAGCCGGCCUGAGAGGGUGACCGGCCACAUUGGGACUGAGAUACGGCCCAGACUCCUACGGGAGGCAGCAGUGGGGAAUAUUGCACAAUGGGCGGAAGCCUGAUGCAGCAACGCCGCGUGCGGGAUGACGGCCCUCGGGUUGUAAACCGCUUUCGCCUGUGACGAAGCGUGAGUGACGGUAAUGGGUAAAGAAGCACCGGCUAACUACGUGCCAGCAGCCGCGGUGAUACGUAGGGUGCGAGCGUUGUCCGGAUUUAUUGGGCGUAAAGGGCUCGUAGGUGGUUGAUCGCGUCGGAAGUGUAAUCUUGGGGCUUAACCCUGAGCGUGCUUUCGAUACGGGUUGACUUGAGGAAGGUAGGGGAGAAUGGAAUUCCUGGUGGAGCGGUGGAAUGCGCAGAUAUCAGGAGGAACACCAGUGGCGAAGGCGGUUCUCUGGGCCUUUCCUGACGCUGAGGAGCGAAAGCGUGGGGAGCGAACAGGCUUAGAUACCCUGGUAGUCCACGCUGUAAACGGUGGGUACUAGGUGUGGGGUCCAUUCCACGGGUUCCGUGCCGUAGCUAACGCUUUAAGUACCCCGCCUGGGGAGUACGGCCGCAAGGCUAAAACUCAAAGGAAUUGACGGGGCCCCGCACAAGCGGCGGAGCAUGCGGAUUAAUUCGAUGCAACGCGUAGAACCUUACCUGGGUUUGACAUGGAUCGGGAGUGCUCAGAGAUGGGUGUGCCUCUUUUGGGGUCGGUUCACAGGUGGUGCAUGGCUGUCGUCAGCUCGUGUCGUGAGAUGUUGGGUUAAGUCCCGCAACGAGCGCAACCCUUGUUCACUGUUGCCAGCACGUUAUGGUGGGGACUCAGUGGAGACCGCCGGGGUCAACUCGGAGGAAGGUGGGGAUGACGUCAAGUCAUCAUGCCCCUUAUGUCCAGGGCUUCACGCAUGCUACAAUGGCUGGUACAGAGAGUGGCGAGCCUGUGAGGGUGAGCGAAUCUCGGAAAGCCGGUCUCAGUUCGGAUUGGGGUCUGCAACUCGACCUCAUGAAGUCGGAGUCGCUAGUAAUCGCAGAUCAGCAACGCCGCGGUAAAACGUUCCCGGGGCU